CUCAUUUCUUCUUUCCCCAGAGGCAGGCUGUCUGCUACACAGACAGUGGUUUAUGGAAGCCCUUUUAUGUGCCAAUAAAAAACGAGCGAUUAUAGCAGGUGAUGAAAGCGGCUAGUGCCUCGGAGACGCCGCGUGUUUAGAGAGAGCGGAUCGUGUCCCCCGAGAUCAGCACUACCGGGGGCCCUGCUCCUUUAUUACGGAAUCGGCAUCAGACACCAAAACCCUCGCCAUUUCGAGAAUCCGCACAAGCACAAGGUCCAGGAGACCUGAGAGGCCGCCCGCUCCCCCCGCCCGGGAGCACCUGUACUGAAGGAGGCGGAGGGGGUUUCUUCACUGUCCCCAGGACAGGCCCCAGGGCUGAGCCAGGCCACAGCCAGGAGGUGCAGGGGACAGAGAGCCCCCAUGCUGUCCAGAAGGUGAGCGGCCUCCUGUGGAGCUCGGCUGGCUGGUGUGCAGGUGGCUGGAGCCAGGGCAGCCCUGGAGACCCCGAGAUCCGGGUGAGGUCUCAGCCCUGAUUUGGGCCUUCAGUGCCAGCGCAGCAAGGCUGAGCAGAGGCUCCAGGAGUGGGAGGCUGACAAGUGUGGGCCUCAGGGCCCCCCCAACCUUGGCUUUGUCACUUAUGAUGGAGGACCUUCAGCCAGCGGCUCUCAACGAGGGGUGACUUUGUCCCUCCCCUGGGACUUCUGACAACAUCUGGAGACAAAUAACUGGAGAUGGGGUGCAAAAGGCUCCACUCACUGCUGGUAUCUGUGAAACGGAAGCCAUAGAUACUGCUAAACACCCUACUGCGCGCCCAACCAUACCCCACAACAAAGACUGGUUCAACUCCCAAGUGUCAAAGCAAUGGCGUUGAGAAAGCCUGUCUUUAGACAAUCAACGAACUGCUCUGGGACUCGGUUUCCUUAUUUAUAAAACAGGGUGGUGGGUUGUGGGGUUGCUGUGAAGCUCACACGAACUGGGGUGUGCGGAGCGCUCACGACAGCGCUUGGCACCGCCAGCAGCUACCUUCAACUGGAGGACUGUCAUCCAAGACAUCAGGAGGCUGUCUAGGGGAGGGAGGCUCAGCUGGUUUGUCUGUCAGAAUCAAGGGGCGGGGCUGAAGGCAGAGGAAGUUCAAUGUCCUGGUGCUAAGAGCUCGAAGCUGGGGAGGCCAGAUAAAGGGGAAGGGCAGAGGGGUCCUGGGUAACUUCUGCAAGCCCUUGCUGGUACCUGAGGGUUCCUCUCUGCAGGGUGCACAGUCAGGGAGCAGGAGCAGUGGGGGGGGGACCCAGAGGACCCACCUCGGUCCCUGUCUGCGGUGGUUCAUGCCUGCUCCUUCUGCAUGCUCCCGGAGGAUUCUUUCUCUACCUACCUGCCCCACGGUGCCCCUCAUCUGCCACGUGGUAGUGUUGUAGGCCCAGAAGGAGGGUCAGCCUCUGGAGCUGGGCAGAGAAUGGGGACUGGAGGCAGCCCAGGGGAAUUCAGGGAGUGUUGCAUUUUGUCUUGUAGUGAUGUGAUUUGUGUCUCCCAAAGAUCUGCCUGCCUGGACUGCAGCAUGCGGCUUCAUUUGGAGUCAGAGCCUUUGCAGAUGUAAUUAAGGUAAUGAUCCACAGACGGCAUCAUCACCAGGUGUGCAGGUGGGCCUUCAACCCAACUAUGGGUGUCCUUACAAAAGACAGGAAAGGAGAAGGCUUAGAGCACUGAGCAGGGAGGGUCAAGGCCAUGGGGAGCGGCACCCCUCAUCUGGAAAUCCAAAGUCUGGAAUCCUGCAGUAAAGUCUAGGCAAAUGUGCCAAAAUCUGGGGAAAAGACAAUGUGAAAUCUGAAGUGUUUCUUGUCCCCAGCUUUUCAGAUACAGUUCCCAAGACGGAAAGGGCCCGGGCCAAAGGCCCCAUCCGAAGGGGCAGCUGGGCAGGGAACUCAAGCCCUGGCUCUUGCCCAGGGUCACCUUUCAGAGUCUGAGACAAAGCUUUCAACAUCUUGUCCUCAAAUAACUCCCUCGAACAAGGACCUUUGUUUUUCACCCCCAAGUCCCAGAACACUCCACGCUUGGCAAGGCUGAAGCCUCCCGGACCAGUUAACAAGGCCACCGGACGGGAUGGUUAGGUUAAGGCGGCGUCCACAACCAUCGGCGUGGGAAGAAAAGAGGAAAAGAGAAAAACCCAAGUACAACCGGCGCUUUAUUAAUCGCCCGAGAGCUCUUUAGCCGUGGGAGUUGAAAGGAGAGUGGUGAGCCGCUGAAGGAAGGGAUGGAAAAACCCUGAUCUUCCAUUAAUCUCGCUGCCCUCCGCGUGGCAGACACCCAUUGUCAGGGCGGGCACAAAGCCUGCCACAGUUGGCGGCAGAAUCGCAAGGUCCGGGGGCGAACGGGGAGCGCGGGUCUUUGGAGAGAGAGCGGUUCAAUAUGGAAAGUGUUUUCCGCACAGCCAGAGGGGCCCAUUUCCAGUCCUUUUCAAUUUGUACACUUUUCCUCCAAUGACUCCUCGAGGGUAAUUACAGUUCUUUUCACAAAUGAAGUAUGGAAGAUGGGAGAGAGGCGAGGCUGUCAAUAGUCCUGCAGGAAUGUGCGGGUCUGUCUCUGGGAGGACAGAAAGCAUCGAUCCUCCUUCCUGGGGGACUCAGAGCGUGAAUGGAAGGCAUCCCCGUGGGGAGCCUGGGGGGGGGACAUCGCCUCUGCCCCCAGAGGGGCCCCGAGUGAUAGAGGACAGGAGCUUCUGAGCCCCCGUGGAGCUACCAGAUAUAAGAGCUGGGUCCUCCCACCGCAAAUAUGUGCUUUGGAGACCCAUCGGCUUGUAUCCUCUUUUGUAUUUCCUCCCUUGGAUAAGGAUCCAAGACCCCAGCUACAGGCAGCAGGAGGUAUUCCUGUGGCCCAGAGGCUCGUGUUUCUUCCAGUAACUUAGGCAUGGGACAAAGGCAUCUGCAUGCAGACAGACAGAGGGCACACCGCUGCAGGGGCUGUGGAGGGCUGCAGAGGAGCUGGGACCCAACAGGCAUCCUUCAGGCUGCACCAAGAGGCUGAGAUUCACAGGCUGAACUGUCGUGAGCACAAAUAUGGAGUAUUGCCCUUGGGACCUAAACCCAACUGCUGGCUCAGAGCAGCCCUUCUGGGAUAGUUCUGGGGCUGCAGAACAGUGAGCUCAGUGCCAGUCAGCACCCUGCCCUGGGGACCAAUAACAGCUAACGUGUCAGAGAGUUCUCCAGACCAGGCACACGGCUUGUGGCUUUUCAGCCAUGUCCCAUGAGACCCCCGUGUUGGCCCUAAGAGGUCUAUACGUUGAUGACCCCUAUUUGCAGACGGGGAAUGAAUGCUGAGAGUAAUAAAGUGACUUUCCGAGAUCCAUACCUGGGGAGUGGUGGAGCUGGGUCUGUAACACCGGACACACGGGUUGCCAAGCCCCUGCCCUUGCCUGCUUCUCCAAGCUGCUCAAGGCUUCCAAACAUGGCUGCUGUGGCAGAGCUUCUAUCCCAAUGGAGGCCCUAAGGACAGCAGGAGUCAACGAUGUUACCCGGUAGACAGUUCGCCGUCUCCACCCCGGGCUGGACCCUCAGCUCUGCCAGGUGACCUUCACGGCUUCUCCAGCACUGCCCCGCCUCCACAACCCCGCUGACUUUUUCCGUCCUUGUUCCUUCUCUAUAAGACCCUCUCCCCACCACCGAACCCCUCUAAUGCAGAGAAAAGGACCAAUUGCAAGGGUGGGAGGUCCUUGGCCAACUUAUUGCCAAAAAUCUUCUUUUAUCGAACAGCUUUACGAGUUGUCAUUUACAUACCAUAAAAUCCACUCGUCUGAAAUGCACCACUGAAUGACUUUUAGUGUAUUGACAGAGUUGUGCCACCGACUGUCACCCACAUUCAAUCUUGGAACAUUUGCAUCACCUAGCAGGAGAGAAAGCAUUGCCUACUUGCAGGCUCCCUCCAAUCCCACCCUGUCCCCAGGCAACCACCAGUCUGCUCUCCAUCAUUAUAGAUUUGCUUUUUCUGGACUUUCCAUAGAAAUGGAAUCAUGCACUAGGUGGGUUUUUUUGUUGUUGUUGUUUGUUUUUUGUUUUUGUGCCUGACUUCUUUCAUUUUAGCAUAAUGUUUUUGAAGUCCCUCCAAGUAGCACAUACCCAUUGUUGGUUCCUUUUUAUUGUGGAAUUGUAGAGCUAUAACACGUUUGCUCAUCUAUUCACUGGUUGAUGGACAUUUGGGUUGUUUCCACUUUGGACGACGAUGGAGAAGGCAGCCACGGGGCUUGGGUGCAAGUGUCUGCGUGGACACACGGCUUGCUUUCUCUUGGGUAGAUACCGAGGACGGUGCCCUACUCUCACAGUAUAUCUCUCUGCAUUUCCCUCCUCUGUCUCCAGAUUCGAUGGCUGAGGUGUCCCUGCUGCAGUGAUAGAUUUCUUCGUCUGUGAUCUGUGUUCCCUCUCUCCCUGUUGCUUUGGGGACCUUGCUUCAUCAGCUAUGCCGUCCCCUUCUCUUAUCACCAGCAUUUGGCUUCAUUACAUGGGGAUAAUAAUAAGACUCACUGCAUGGUGCUUUAGUGAGGAUUAAGUGAGGAAUGGUAUUAAGAUGCUAAAGUAGGAAGAUGCUAAAGUAGGCCCCACGGUCCCUGCCUCCUGCUGCUGGGGCCUUUGUAUAAUCCCUUGCCCUUGAGUAUAGGUGGGACCUGUGACUUGCUUCUAACCAAAGGCAAUGGGAUGUCACACCAAGAUAAUGUCACAUUACAGGAGACUCAUCUCAGCAACCUGGAGAUAGAGACUCUCCUUCCUGGCUCCAUGAAAUAAGUAAACAUGUUGGAGAGGGACAUUUGAAGAGAACCUCUGGUACCCCUAGGGACUGCAGGUGGCUCACUCCACGUGGCCUCUAGGACCUGAAGGUGGUAUCUAGUGCUCUCAGGAAGCUCUGGUCAAAAGCUAGCAAGAAGCCAGGGUCCUCAGUGCUACACCAGCAAGGAAAUGAGUCCUGCCAACAAUCUGAAUGAGAUUUAGAAGUGAGUUCUCCACCGGUCGAGUCUCCAGAUGAGGUCACAGCCCAUCCGACACCAUGACUGUAGCCUGUGGGACCUGACCCAGAGGACCUCACUGAGUCACGUCAGGACCCACAGAAACUGAGAGAGAAUAAAUGUGUGUUUUAAGUAGCUAAA